CAGCCGCCGCGGUAAUACGUAGGUCCCGAGCGUUGUCCGGAUUUAUUGGGCGUAAAGCGAGCGCAGGCGGUUAGAUAAGUCUGAAGUUAAAGGCUGUGGCUUAACCAUAGUACACUUCGGAAACUGUUUAACUUGAGUGCAGAAGGGGAGAGUGGAAUUCCAUGUGUAGCGGUGAAAUGCGUAGAUAUAUGGAGGAACACCGGUGGCGAAAGCGGCUCUCUGGUCUGUAGCUGACGCUGAGGCUCGAAAGCGUGGGGAGCGAACAGGAUUAGAUACCCGCGUAGUCCCUGUCUCUUAUACU
rnacentral:rRNA from 1 species